GGAGAGGUGACCGAGUGGCCGAAGGUGCUCGCCUGCUAAGCGAGUCUGUGCCGAAAGGUGCAGCCCGGGUUCGAAUCCCGGCCUCUCCGCCA
rnacentral:tRNA from 6 species